rnacentral:rRNA from 1 species
CUCAGUAACGGCGAGUGAAGCGGCAACAGCUCAAAUUUGAAAUCUGGCUCCUUCGGGGUCCGAGUUGUAAUUUGCAGAGGAUGCGUCGGGUACGGGUCCCUACCGAGUUCCCUGGAACGGGACGCCAUAGAGGGUGAGAGCCCCGUCUGGUAGGAUACCCAGCCCAUGUGACGCUCCCUCGACGAGUCGAGUAGUUUGGGAAUGCUGCUCUAACGGGAGGUAUACUCCUUCCAAAGCUAAAUACCGGCUGGAGACCGAUAGCGCACAAGUAGAGUGAUCGAAAGAUGAAAAGCACUUUGAAAAGAGAGUCAAACAGCACGUGAAAUUGUUAAAAGGGAAGCACUCGCUACCAGACUUGGGUUUGGCGGUUCAACCGGGGCCACGCCCCGGGGCAUUCCGCCAGCUCAGGCCAGCAUCAGCUUUCCGUCGGGGGCAAAGACGUCGGGAAUGUGGCUCCCCCUCGGGGGAGUGUUAUAGCCCGGCGUGUCAUACCCUUCGGGGGGCUGAGGUACGCGCUUCUGCAAGGAUGCUGGCGUAAUGGUAGCUAGUGACCCGUCUUGAAACACGGACCAAGGAGUCAACCUUAUGUGCGAGUGCCCGGGCGUAAAACCCCAGCGCGGAAUGAAAGUGAACGUAGGUGAGAGCUUCGGCGCAUCACCGACCGAUCCUGAUGUCCUCGGACGGAUUUGAGUGAGAGCAUAUAGGGUUGGACCCGAAAGAAGAUGAACUAUGCGUGUGUAGGGUGAAGCCAGAGGAAACUCUGGUGGAGGCUCGCAGCGGUUCUGACGUGCAAAUCGAUCGUCAAACAUGCGCAUGGGGGCGAAAGACUA